AGUGGGAAGGGAGGGAGGUGAAGAUGUAUUUGUGUUACAGACAAAAGACAAGUUCUGUUCCUCAGCAGGGACAAAUGAAGAACCAGAUGAGGGGAUAAACUGAGGUUCUUAUAGUACCAUGUUGGCGAUGUCCUAUGCGUGGCCCCACAGUUCUUCCUUUGGAAAAGGUGGUGGAAGGGAAUAUAGACAGAAUCAAAUAGGCCUUCCAGAAGAGACUGAAUGGACACCAACCCACCAUCAUUUAGCCAC